rnacentral:rRNA from 1 species
CUGAACCAGCCAAGUAGCGUGCAGGAUGACGGCCCUAUGGGUUGUAAACUGCUUUUGUAUGGGGAUAAAGUCCAUCACGUGUGAUAGUCUGCAGGUACCAUACGAAUAAGGACCGGCUAAUUCCGUGCCAGCAGACGAGGUAAUACGGAAGGUCCGGGCGUUAUCCGGAUUUAUUGGGUUUAAAGGGAGCGUACGCUGGAGAUUAAGUCACUUGUGAAAGUUCGCGG